AAACGGUAACAGGAUAGCUUGCUAUCGCUGACGAGUGGCGGACGGGUGAGUAAUACUUAGGGAUCUGCCUCUGUGUGGGGGAUAACUAUUGGAAACGAUAGCUAAUACCGCAUAAUGUCUACGGACCAAAGCGGGCUUCGGCUCGUGCGCAGAGAGGAACCUAAGCGAGAUUAGCUAGUUGGUGAGGUAAAGGCUCACCAAGGCGACGAUCUCUAGCUGUUCUGAGAGGAAGAUCAGCCACACUGGAACUGAGACACGGUCCAGACUCCUACGGGAGGCAGCAGUGGGGAAUAUUGCACAAUGGGGGAAACCCUGAUGCAGCCAUGCCGCGUGUGUGAAGAAGGCCUUCGGGCUGUAAAGCACUUUCAGUUGUGAGGAAAGUUUAGUAGUUAAUACCUGCUAGAUGUGACGUUAGCAACAGAAGAAGCACCGGCUAACUCCGUGCCAGCAGCCGCGGUAAUACGGAGGGUGCAGAGCGUUAAUCGGAAUUACUGGGCGUAAAGCGCACGCAGGCGGUCUGUAAGCUAGAUGUGAAAGCCCCGGCUCAACGUGGGAGGGUCAUUUAGAACUGGCA
rnacentral:rRNA from 1 species